AGUGCGCCGCGCUGCGCUGGGCGCCAUGGCGCUCCCCGGAGCCCGGGCUCGCGGCUGGGCGGCAGCAGCCAGAGCGGCCCAGAGGCGCCGCCGCGUGGAGAACGCAGGAGGGUCCCCGAGUCCUGAGCCUGCGGGCCGGCGCGCGGCGCUUUACGUACACUGGCCUUACUGCGAGAAGCGCUGCAGUUACUGCAACUUCAACAAGUACAUCCCUCGCCGCGUGGAGGAGGCUGCCAUGCAGAAGUGUCUGGUGACCGAAGCUCAGACGCUGCUGCGGCUCAGCGGGGUGCAACGGGUGGAGUCUGUGUUCUUUGGUGGGGGGACCCCCAGUCUAGCCAGUCCCCACACGGUGGCUGCUGUCCUGGAGGCUGUGGCACAGACAGCCCACCUGCCUGCAGACUCGGAAGUCACAUUGGAGGCUAAUCCUACUUCAGCUCCGGGCUCCAGACUGGCAGAGUUCGGGGCAGCAGGGGUUAACAGGUUGUCUAUAGGCCUCCAGGUAACCCAUGGCACUCACCCCAUCCCAGUGCACCCCGCCCUUCAGUGCCAUCUCCUCUUUGGUCACAUUCAUUCAUUGGGCAAACAUUGAUUGAGCACCUUCUGGGUGCCAGGGACACAGUAGGGCCUAGUGCGACACUUUUAUAACUCCUUAAUUGUCUGCUGCUGUCAUAGACCACACACUUUAUGAGAAAGGGAUCAGGUGUGGCUUUUCUAUUUCAAACACUUACCAUAGUGCCUGGCACAUAGUAGGUGGUCAAAAAAGAUUUGCUACAUGACACGGGAGACACAGACAUGUAGCCAGAUUAUUGCAGCAUGGUAAAUGUCACCUGUAAAGGGGGUCUCUAUAAAAGGCUUCUAGAGUACAGCCUGAAGGGAGGUCACUCUGAUGAAAUCACUGAAACUUCUCUGGAGGAGAUGUUUGAAUGAAGAGGAGGAGUUCACCAGGUGAGGGGGUGUGGGGGAAACGACACAGGCCAUGGAAGAGCCUGGCAUGUUUUGGGGGAGCUGUGAGUCAUUCCUUGUGACUGGAGAGGCUGGAGACAA
rnacentral:sRNA from 1 species